CUCCGAGUGAAGAAAAUGGACCUUAAUAUAUAAUGUGUCAAAAAAAUAUAUAAUCUGUCAAAUUUCGAGCUAGUUUUCCAGGGGCGAACUCACUUUUAUUGGUGAUGACAAGGCGAUGCAAUCAUUGACUGACAAUGUUUCAGCUAAUCUUGAUGAUUUAAAAAAAAUUUCAGUCUGUUUUUAGUUGAGGAAAAAAAAACAGUUUAACAGGGCUAUUCUGGAGUUGUGAUGCUCACAAGUCACAAUUUUUUGUGAGUUUAUUUUUGUGAGGUUUUUUAUGAGGUUGUCACAAUUUGGUAUUCUGCGAAAAACCUCAUAAGAAACCUCACAGCAAAUUCACCACAAACGAGGUGAGUUUUUAUUUUGACAGCCAGCUGAUUUGUCAGAUAAAAAAACAAAACACUUUGAAUAUAAAUAAAAAUCUACUAUUUGUUCAUAUAUUUUCGAUAUAUACAUUCUUCCAAGGAAUUAUAAUCAAUUAUUUAGCAAUUCCAACACCAGAGACCAGAAAAAUAUCUUGGACACAGGAGUUUUAGAAAUCGAUGUACCUACUCAUGGACCAGAUAUGAAUAACAAAAACGCUAGCUUCUUUCUUGUUAUAGCGAAUGAGACCAAAUUGGUGCAGGGAAAUCCAAAACCAAAUGGAGGAGAACGCUGGCACUGUGAAUGAGUUACUCCUGGUUUGCUUGUACACUUCAUGGUUCAUGCAAAACUAAUUCAUCCUCAAUAAAGAUAUGAGAUGCUUCUCACAGUGCAUUGGCCAUUGCAAUACCCCUUUUAAACAUUUCCCGAAAGGCCAUUGGCACGACAUGUAUUCAAUAUGCUCUAUUCGCUGGACACAACAAGCAAGCAGCUUGACUUGGCAACCAAAUGUCUGCAGAGAUACAUGGAAGGCAACACCAAUCAUUACAACGUAGACGAAAUGCUAGAGUUGUAGACCUUCAACAGAGUUUUGGUCCUCCAGAGUGUCGCUCCUAAUAUCAUUGCCAACGAAGACGCCAAAAAAAACAGAACUAUUACCGCAAAUUUACGGUCAUGUGCAAGUCAUUUUUGCUGUUGAUGGACUCCAAUGUAGAAACUCCACAAAAAUCUGUGAAGGUUCUUGGAUUGGUUCUGCUGUGUGUCUACUUCAUUUUUGUUUACUUGUAGAAAAAGGAGCCAAGUGAAACACAAUUUUUAAUUUAUUUAAUUAAUUACUUUAUAAAUAUUGAUUUUUGUUUCGUA